CCGGUGCACUCUGAAAGGUGUUCUUGAACUACCAACCUUCAGAAUAAAAUUAUUAUCUACUUCUGCAGCAGGAGCAAUCUUCGUGCUGGAGAAAGGAAGCCCACACACCCCGGGACACAGCAGAAAUUUCUACAUGAAUCUUGCACCAGCUGAGCAAUGAAGAAGGAAUAGCUAUGAGAACAGAAGAUGGAUUUCAGCAAAGGAAAUCUAUAGGAAGCCACUUCAUUUCUUGGAUUUUCAAGUGCACCUUAUACCCGGACUCAGAAGAAGUCACAAGUGUACAUGUUUUGGAUGGUGAUUACACUAGAAAUUCUAUGGACUUUGAUCAUAACAGACAACGUUUGCUUUGAUGUGGUAGAGCUUUGAUAGCCACAUCAACAUGAAAUCAAAAUAAAAGAAAAAUUUAGAUAUUUGUAUCGGUUUGUGAUGGCAGCUAUUCAUAAAAAUCUCUGAUGGAACCUGGUGCAUAUGUGAUAUCUAUGUACAGUCUGUGAAGCACAAGCCAGGGGAUUAAAGUCUGAUGCAAAAUCAAGGUGUUGUUAAAACUUAAACACUCCCACAGUAGAAAUUAUGACACCUGUGAACCCCUGUUCCAGACCAGACUGGGGGUCUAGGAGCUGCCACAUCCUUCACUUGCGUCUACAGGUGACAACAGGAGUAUCUUUAACAGAGACAAGGAACAUCACAGAGCAUCACCAACAUGGGUUGUGAACUGGGACUUGUUGAGUUCUGGUUGCUGGUUCCUUAGAGAAGGACAAGAUCUCUGGUACGGGUUUUCUUCCCGAAAGUAGGUGUGCAGGGACAAAGCGCUGGAGAGACCCUGUGCCCUGAGGAACAUCGUCCUGCUCUCCAUCAAUGCCCAUGAACUGGCCACAGGAGCACUGAAGGCAUUUUGCAUAACUGGAGGGCAAGAUUUUUCCUUUGCUGGCCACAGUGUUUGUACAAGGAAGGCCUGCAUGACUGAUUGGAAGAAAAGAAUAUUUGUACCUUAUAUAUUGGAGAAAUUGUUCAGAACAGUUAAUCCUUGUGAAAGUCCUGCUCUGAAAGGCUGCCAAGAGCAGUGGCUGUGUUGGUAUUUGCCAUGUCAAAGCCAGUCUGUGAGGAGCACUUCUUGCCACGUUGCAUGGGACUCCAGCAAAUAGAGAGGGACAUUUUUCCCAGUGGGACACUGCAGAUUCUCUCCUUACUGCUGCCUGGACUCUGUGAGUGCCAGCUUUUCCUCCCCCAUGGGCAUUUCCUGGUUGAAAUGGCAGUGGCCAGGCCAGCAGCAUUGUGCUUACAGGUGGAGCACACGGGGCACCUUGUCCAAGCAUGCCUCACCUGGAGAGCCUCUUCACACUCCAUGGACAUACGUGUACACUGAGCAUCUAUUUUAUCUCACUGGAUUUUGUUGACUGCAGAAUGUAUCCUCGACUCACAAUGCUCUGCACUCUGUACGAUUCAAAAUCAGGUUCUCCUCAGCCUGCUGCUGUCACACAGGAUAUAUCUGUGAAAUCUGCCUACCUCAGGGAUGAUGCUCAUCAUUUAACAUAAUCUUGUGCUUUCCUUCAUGCUUCAUUUUUCAUGCUCUUUGCAGCUAUAACAAGUCAGAAAGGUAAAUGAUGAGAAGCCUGAAGUAUGCAAGGAAUGACUAUUUGAUUCUCCUGCAACACUGGGAAAGAAAAGCCACAAACACCUUUGAAUUUUCACAUAUAUAAGAUCUUAUUCAUGCCACACCCAUUCUGGGUUCAGAAACAUAAAACAUGCCAACCUAUAUUUAUAGGAAAAUCAGAACAGGUACCUGGAAUAUAAUAAAGUUUUGCAAGAGCACUUUGAAGAAAACAUAGGUCUUAUUCAGAUAUUCUUAAUUUUAAUCCAGAAAUAUGAAAUAAAAUAAUAUUUGCAUAGAAAUGCCAUGUCAAGUAAACUUUGCAUUUACUUUUCAGUUGUAUUGAAAUAGUAAUGUUACCAUUGUAUUUUCAUUUAUAAAAUCUUUAAUCACUCAUAUGUGCAUUUGGUUCAAAACGAAUAAUUUCAGACUUUUUUUCUCAGUGGUCAGAAAGUUAGCUUUCCUUUCCAGUCUGUUAGAUUUUUCACUACAAUAAAAAAGUCCUUUUUUCUUCAGUGUUAUCAAGUUUGACAAAGCAAAGUAAUGAUGAUUAAUAAAAUACUACCUGUUGGGGUUUAUUGCCUUA